AUUGAACGCUGGCGGCAGGCCUAACACAUGCAAGUCGAGCGGAUGAAGGGAGCUUGCUCCUGGAUUCAGCGGCGGACGGGUGAGUAAUGCCUAGGAAUCUGCCUGGUAGUGGGGGAUAACGUCCGGAAACGGGCGCUAUACCGCAUACGUCCUGAGGGAGAAAGUGGGGGAUCUUCGGACCUCACGCUAUCAGAUGAGCCUAGGUCGGAUUAGCUAGUUGGUGGGGUAAAGGCCUACCGAGGCGACGAUCCGUAACUGGUCUGAGAGGAUGAUCAGCCACACUGGAACUGAGACACGGUCCAGACUCCUACGGGAGGCAGCAGUGGGGAAUAUUGGACAAUGGGCGAAAGCCUGAUCCAGCCAUGCCGCGUGUGUGAAGAAGGUCUUCGGAUUGUAAAGCACUUUAAGUUGGGAGGAAGGGCAGUAAGUUAAUACCUUGCUGUUUUGACGUUACCAACAGAAUAAGCACCGGCUAACUUCGUG
rnacentral:rRNA from 1 species